UCGAGAAUCUUCGGCAAUGGACGAAAGUCUGACCGAGCGACGCCGCGUGUGGGAUGAAGGCCUUCGGGUUGUAAACCACUGUCGUAGAGGAGGAAAUUAGUCGGGGUUCUCCCCGGCCAUUGACCUAUUCUAGGAGGAAGGACGGGCUAAGUACGUGCCAGCAGCCGCGGUAAUACGUACCGUCCAAACGUUAUUCGGAAUUACUGGGCUUAAAGGGUACGUAGGCGGCGCUGUCAGUCGGGUGUGAAAUCCCACGGCUCAACCGUGGAACUGCGCCCGAUACUGCAGUGCUUGAGGGAGACAGAGGUAAGCGGAACUGAUGGUGGAGCGGUGAAAUGCGUUGAUAUCAUCAGGAACACCGGUGGCGAAAGCGGCUUACUGGGUCUCUUCUGACGCUGAGGUACGAAAGCCAGGGGAGCGAAGGG
rnacentral:rRNA from 1 species